AUGGUGAAGCGGUGGCUCCCCCUGGAGGCUAACCCCGACGUCAUGAACCAGUUCAUGUGGGGGCUGGGGGUCCCGGAGGACGUGGGGUUCUGCGACGUGUACGGGCUCGACGACGAGAUGCUCGCCAUGGUGCCCCAGCCGGUCCUCGCCGUCCUCCUGCUCUACCCGCAGGAUCGGAAGAAGGAAUCCGAUGCUUCGACCACUUCGACAGUGGAGACCAAGGAACCCAACAAGAAAGUAUAUUUUACAAAACAGACUGUUGGCAAUGCUUGCGGAACAAUUGGUAUUAUUCAUGCAAUAGGGAAUGCUGUGUCCAAAAUCAAGCUAGUUGAUGGAUCCUAUUUUCAUAGAUUUUAUAAACAAACUGCUGAUAUGGAUCCUAUCCAGCGUGCUGCUUUUCUUGAGGAGGACCAAGAAAUGGAGGAUGCUCAUUCUGUUGCUGCUGCUGGUGGUGAUACGGAGGCCAAGGAUGGGGUAAUUGAACAUUACGUUUGUUUUUCAUGUGUUGAUGGUGAACUUUACGAGCUUGAUGGAGGAAAUCCGCAGCCGAUACAUCACGGCCCUUCCUCUCCUGAUAGCUUGUUGCAGGAUGCUGCAAGAGUCAUAAAAGCGAGGAUUGUGGAGUAUUCUGAGUCACUCAACUUCAAUGUCAUGGCUCUCUCGAUGAUGUAG
rnacentral:rRNA from 1 species